ensembl:misc_RNA 7SK 7SK RNA
GGAUGUGAGGGCACUCUGGCUGCAACAUGUCACCCCACUGACUGCCGUGGUUGACUUGGCUGAUCUGGCUGGCAGGGCAGAUGUCCCCUUCCUCCCUCACCGCUGUGAGGGGAUGACCCCCACCCCAUAGAUGAAGACAGUUUCCUCAGUCAAGGGUAUACAAGCAGUUGCGCUCCCCUGCUUGGAACCUUCUAACAAGCUCUCAAUUCAGUGUUCAGUCAGGGAUCAAGGGCUGAGGGCAGGUACUCUGUGUACACAGAAGAGAGGUAUGCAAAAUCAUUUCUCUGCUAAUGCCCCUC